CUGAUGAUGAUGAGGAAAUCUCCGAUGAUGAAGUUGGAGCUACUCCUAAGAAGGCUGAGAAGGGUAAGAAGAGACCUACAGAAUCUGCAACCAAGACACCAGCUCCAGAAAAGAAGGCCAAGCUUGUUACACCUAUUGGUCAAAAGACCGGUGGUGCUGGUGGAAAGAAGGGCGUGGGCAUAUAGCAACUCCUUGCCCUUCAAAACAGGCUGGAAAGACACCUGCUAACAACAACAAGUCAAAGCAGCAAAUUCCUAAAUCUGGUGGUCAAGUCAGUUGCAAGACAUGUAGCAAGUAUGCUCUCUCUCUCUCUCUCUCUCUCUCUCUCUCUCUCUCUCUCUCUCUCGUUUUCCUUCUACCAGUUAACUGAUGUUUAGUUUUCUAUUGGUUGUCAACAGGAAAUUUGUAAAUUUUGAUUUUAAUGCAUGCUGUUUCCUGGUGGCCUGUAAUAUCGAUAGGCCACAUACCAAAUAAAUCAAUGUUAGCGGAUUAUCCUACAAAAAAUGGAUAGAGCAGUAGUCCAUAUUGAACCAUUAAAACUCACAAGAGGAUGAAUGGUCAUGUUAGUUUUACUGCUGCCCUAUCCAU